UACUUUUGCCGGCCAGCGCCGCACGGGUGAGUAAUGCCUGGGAAAUUGCCCAGUCGAGGUGGAUUACCGCUGGAAACGACUGCUAAUACCGCAUACGCCCUACGGGGGAAAGCAGGGGACCUUCGGGCCUUGCGCGAUUGUAUAUGCCCAGGUGGGAUUCGCUUGUUGAUGAGGUAAUGGCUCACCAAGGCGACGAUCCCCAGCUGGUCUGAGAGGAUGAUCCGCCCCACUGGUACUGACCCAGGCUCAACACUAAAACGGGAGGCAGCAGUGGGGAAUAUUGCACAAUGGGGGAAACCCUGAUGCAGCCUAGACGCGUGUGUGAAGAAGGCCUUCGGGUUGUAAAGCACUUUCAGCGAGGAGGAAAGGUUGAUACCUAAUACCUAUCAGCUGUGACGUUACUCGCAGAAGAAGCACCGGCUAACUCCGUGCCAGCAGCCGCGGUAUACGGAGGGUGCAAGCGUUAAUCGGAAUUACUGGGCGUAAAGCGCACGCAGGCGGUUGGAUAAGUUAGAUGUGAAGCCCCGGGCUCAACCUGGGAAUUGCAUUUAAACUGUCCAGCUAGAGUCUUGUAGAGGGGGGUAGAAUUCCAGGUGUAGCGGUGAAAUGCGUAGAGAUCUGGAGAAUACCGGUGGCGAAGGCGGCCCCUGGACAAGACUGAGCUCAGGUGCGAAAGCGUGGGAGCAAAAGGAUUAGAUACCCUGGUGUCCAGCCGUAACGAUGUCGAUUGGAGGCUGUGUUCUUGAGACG
rnacentral:rRNA from 1 species